rnacentral:lncRNA from 1 species
ACACCACAUCUACCCUUAGAAAAUUAAUUAAUUUUCCCCCUAGAGUUCUAAAAAUAAUAUUUCAAUUCUCUAAUCCGAUCAAUGUGGUGACAUUCUAGGCACGAGCGUAUGUGAUUCGAUGUCCAAAAGAAUUUGCAAGGCAAACAAUCACUGCGGUAUAAACUAUAUCGUAACAAUCUUUCCGAAAUGCUUUCAUUCCAUGAACAAACAUAAUCAAUUUUUUAAAUUAAAAAAAGAUCAAAAAUUAAAAAUAAUGGAAACUAAAAAACAUAUAUCCGAAGUCUGAGAGAGGGCAAGCUUACCACGAGUGGAGCUGCGAUCCACGGCCGGAGGGUGGUCGUAUGGCGGUCGGUCGCUGGUGGUGAAGGGCAGAGGAAACGAAGCGGCGGGAGACGGAAGGUUAGGGUUACGGGUUUCCUGGGAGAAGAACGCACGUGCCGUCUAUACACGAUAUAAGGCGGUAACGAUGCGCCGAGUUCUUAACAUGCUCACACUUUGCAAACCAAUGGUCGGAUCUGAUCUCGGGGACUCACGAAUCUUAACGGAGUCCAUGAACUAAAUAGAAGCGCACCAGGAUGCGCCGUUAAGCUUCUCGCCGACCACUAAUUGCUUUCACAGCUACCAUCUCCUCCCGGGCUCUCGAGAGCUCGAUCCCUCGCUUCUUCUUCUCUUCCCUUUCUUUAUUCUCCGCAAAAAAAAAAAAAAACCAAAAGCAAAGGGAAAGAAAGGAGAAACGAGUAAAGAGAUGGCAUCGAACCCUCCUCUUCCCUCCUUCAAGAUUUGUUUUCAGAAAUUUAACAAUUUCUUUGACCAGAUUAUCGCGGUUUAUCUCUGGUCUCGUAAGAUUAUUUCGACUGAUUUUUUUCUCGUUUAAAAAAUUUUCUUGAGACAUAUAGAUAAGAAUAUCAAUAAUAUUAGAUUCUCUUAGCUG